GAGUUUGAUCAUGGCUCAGAUUGAACGCUGGCGGUAUGCUUUACACAUGCAAGUCGAACGAAGUAGCAAUACUUAGUGGCAGACGGGUGAGUAACAUGUGGGUAUCUGCCCUUUGGCCUGGAAUAACACGAGGAAACUUGUGCUAAUACCGGAUAAGUCUUUACGGAGAAAGCUUUAUGCACCAUUGGAUGAGCCCGCACUUGAUUAGUUUGUUGGUGGGGUAAUGGCCUACCAAGACUGUGAUCAAUAGCUGAUUUGAGAGGAUGAUCAGCCACAUUGGGACUGAGACACGGCCCAAACUCCUACGGGAGGCAGCAGUGGGGAAUCUUGCACAAUGGAGGAAACUCUGAUGCAGCGAUGCCGCGUGAGUGAAGAAGGCCCUUGGGUUGUAAAGCUCUUUCGUCGGGGAAGAAAAUGACUGUACCCGAAUAAGAAGGUCCGGCUAACUUCGUGCCAGCAGCCGCGGUAAUACGAAGGGACCUAGCGUAGUUCGGAAUUACUGGGCUUAAAGAGUUCGUAGGUGGUUGAAAAAGUUAGUGGUGAAAUCCCAGAGCUUAACUCUGGAACUGCCAUUAAAACUUUUCAGCUAGAGUAUGAUAGAGGAAAGCAGAAUUUCUAGUGUAGAGGUGAAAUUCGUAGAUAUUAGAAAGAAUACCAAUUGCGAAGGCAGCUUUCUGGAUCAUUACUGACACUGAGGAACGAAAGCAUGGGUAGCGAAGAGGAUUAGAUACCCUCGUAGUCCAUGCCGUAAACGAUGUGUGUUAGACGUUGGAAAUUUAUUUUCAGUGUCGCAGCGAAAGCGAUAAACACACCGCCUGGGGAGUACGACCGCAAGGUUAAAACUCAAAUGAAUUGACGGGGACCCGCACAAGUAGUGGAGCAUGUGGUUUAAUUCGAAGAUACGCGCAGAACCUUACCAACACUUGACAUGUUCGUCGCGACUCUAAGAGAUUAGAGUUUUCGGUUCGGCCGGACGAAACACAGGUGCUGCAUGGCUGUCGUCAGCUCGUGUCGUGAGAUGUUGGGUUAAGUCCCGCAACGAGCGCAACCCUCACUUUUAGUUGCCAUCAUUAAGUUGGGCACUCUGAAAGAACUGCCAGUGAUAAGCUGGAGGAAGGUGGGGAUGACGUCAAGUCCUCAUGGCCCUUACGUGUUGGGCUACACACGUGCUACAAUGGUAUCUACAACAGGAAGCAAGACUGCGAGGUCAAGCAAAUCCUUAAAAGAUACCUCAGUUCGGAUUGCACUCUGCAACUCGAGUGCAUGAAGCUGGAAUUACUAGUAAUCGUGGAUCAGCGUGCCACGGUGAAUGCGUUCCCGGGUCUUGUACACACCGCCCGUCACACCAUGGGAGUUGGUUCUACCUUAAGGCAAGGUUUCAAACCCUUGACCACGGUAUAGUCAGCGACUGGGGUGAAGUCGUAACAAGGUAGCCGUA
rnacentral:rRNA from 1 species